rnacentral:rRNA from 1 species
CGGACGGGUGAGUAACGCGUGAGAAUCUGCCUUUAGGUCCGGGACAACCACUGGAAACGGUGGCUAAUACCGGAUGUGCCGCAACGUGAAAGGGGAAACCCGCCUGAAGAUGAGCUCGCGUCUGAUUAGCUAGUUGGUGAGGUAAAGGCUCACCAAGGCGACGAUCAGUAGCUGGUCUGAGAGGAUGACCAGCCACACUGGGACUGAGACACGGCCCAGACUCCUACGGGAGGCAGCAGUGGGGAAUUUUCCGCAAUGGGCGAAAGCCUGACGGAGCAAGACCGCGUGAGGGAAGAAGGCUCUUGGGUCGUAAACCUCUUUUGUCAGGGAAGAACACAAUGACGGUACCUGACGAAUCAGCCUCGGCUAACUCCGUGCCAGCAGCCGCGGUAAUACGGAGGAGGCAAGCGUUAUCCGGAAUUAUUGGGCGUAAAGCGUCCGUAGGUGGCUAGUCAAGUCUGCGGUCAAAGACUGGGGCUUAACCCUGGAAAGGCCGUGGAAACUGACGAGCUAGAGUGCAGUAGGGGUAGAGGGAAUUCCCGGUGUAGCGGUGAAAUGCGUAGAGCUCGGGAAGAACAUCGGUGGCGAAAGCACUCUACUGGACUGCAACUGACACUCAGGGACGAAAGCUAGGGGAGCGAAUGGGAUUAGAUACCCCAGUAGUC